UUGCAGAAAUGAUGAGGUCGUAUUAC
rnacentral:piRNA from 1 species